AAAUUGAAGAGUUUGAUCAUGGCUCAGAUUGAACGCUGGCGGCAGGCCUAACACAUGCAAGUCGAACGGUAACAGGAAGCAGCUUGCUGCUUUGCUGACGAGUGGCGGACGGGUGAGUAAUGUCUGGGAAACUGCCUGAUGGAGGGGGAUAACUACUGGAAACGGUGGCUAAUACCGCAUAACGUCGCAAGACCAAAGAGGGGGACCUUCGGGCCUCUUGCCAUCAGAUGUGCCCAGAUGGGAUUAGCUUGUUGGUGAGGUAACGGCUCACCAAGGCGACGAUCCCUAGCUGGUCUGAGAGGAUGACCAGCCACACUGGAACUGAGACACGGUCCAGACUCCUACGGGAGGCAGCAGUGGGGAAUAUUGCACAAUGGGCGCAAGCCUGAUGCAGCCAUGCCGCGUGUAUGAAGAAGGCCUUCGGGUUGUAAAGUACUUUCAGCGGGGAGGAAGGUGUUGUGGUUAAUAACCGCAGCAAUUGACGUUACCCGCAGAAGAAGCACCGGCUAACUCCGUGCCAGCAGCCGCGGUAAUACGGAGGGUGCAAGCGUUAAUCGGAAUUACUGGGCGUAAAGCGCACGCAGGCGGUCUGUCAAGUCGGAUGUGAAAUCCCCGGGCUCAACCUGGGAACUGCAUUCGAAACUGGCAGGCUUGAGUCUUGUAGAGGGGGGUAGAAUUCCAGGUGUAGCGGUGAAAUGCGUAGAGAUCUGGAGGAAUACCGGUGGCGAAGGCGGCCCCCUGGACAAAGACUGACGCUCAGGUGCGAAAGCGUGGGGAGCAAACAGGAUUAGAUACCCUGGUAGUCCACGCCGUAAACGAUGUCUACUUGGAGGUUGUGCCCUUGAGGCGUGGCUUCCGGAGCUAACGCGUUAAGUAGACCGCCUGGGGAGUACGGCCGCAAGGUUAAAACUCAAAUGAAUUGACGGGGGCCCGCACAAGCGGUGGAGCAUGUGGUUUAAUUCGAUGCAACGCGAAGAACCUUACCUGGUCUUGACAUCCACGGAAGUUUUCAGAGAUGAGAAUGGUGCCUUCGGGAACCGUGAGACAGGUGCUGCAUGGCUGUCGUCAGCUCGUGUUGUGAAAUGUUGGGUUAAGUCCCGCAACGAGCGCAACCCUUAUCCUUUGUUGCCAGCGAUUAGGUCGGGAACUCAAAGGAGACUGCCAGUGAUAAACUGGAGGAAGGUGGGGAUGACGUCAAGUCAUCAUGGCCCUUACGACCAGGGCUACACACGUGCUACAAUGGCGCAUACAAAGAGAAGCGACCUCGCGAGAGCAAGCGGACCUCAUAAAGUGCGUCGUAGUCCGGAUUGGAGUCUGCAACUCGACUCCAUGAAGUCGGAAUCGCUAGUAAUCGUGGAUCAGAAUGCCACGGUGAAUACGUUCCCGGGCCUUGUACACACCGCCCGUCACACCAUGGGAGUGGGUUGCAAAAGAAGUAGGUAGCUUAACCUUCGGGAGGGCGCUUACCACUUUGUGAUUCAUGACUGGGGUGAAGUCGUAACAAGGUAACCGUAGGGGAACCUGCGGUUGGAUCACCUCCUUA
rnacentral:rRNA from 1 species